UACGUAGGGCGCAAGCGUUAUCCGGAAUUAUUGGGCGUAAAGAGCUCGUAGGCGGUUUGUCGCGUCUGCUGUGAAAACCUAAGGCUCAACCUUGGGCUUGCAGUGGGUACGGGCAGACUAGAGUGCGGUAGGGGUGACUGGAAUUCCUGGUGUAGCGGUGGAAUGCGCAGAUAUCAGGAGGAACACCGAUGGCGAAGGCAGGUCACUGGGCCGCAACUGACGCUGGAGGAGCGAAAGCAUGGGGAGCGAACAGG
rnacentral:rRNA from 1 species